GGCACAGGAGCUUGGGAUCUGUCUCCUCUUUCGCCUCCUGCACCUUGAGAGCCCUGGGCUACUCUGUCACAGCCCCUGUUGCCCUGCGAUCUGUAGGUCCUUGGGGACGCAUAGUUAAGGUGCCAGGACAUCCUGGAAGCUGGGAAAUGACCAUGGCUGGAGAAGGAAAGAAGGUGUGUUUUGCCUGAUUCAGGGACUAUAGAGAGAACCAAGUUCUGCAGGCCUGUCAUCUAAGUCUCAGGGCGGGGAGACCUUCCUUCCCCACGGGUUUGAGGCUAUGGCUAAGUGGUGAGCCUUGGUGAGACGCAGAAAGGAUCCAUCCCAGGCACUUGGCUAGAGGUAAGUAAAAAUAGCCUUUGGGCCAGAAGACCUGAUAGUUUGGGUACUCGUCUGGACAUAAGUCCCCAUCUUCCCAGAAAUGUCGUCUUUUGUCUGCAACAACUGGCUGGAGAAAUAUUUCAGAAAGAUGUGUGCCUGGAACACCCAAAGGCAUACCUUUCCUUUCUCCUUGGCAUAGGCCUUGCAGCACUGAAGAAAGACCAGGUUUGCAACGGAGCCUUCAAUACUCUUCAUCCCUAUGGAUCUCAGGGGCUCAUAGGGUGACAGGAGAGGAGACAAGCUAGCUUGGGAAGAGUCUUUGUCCUUCAGCUUCUCCUCUACUGAAACACUAUAUACUUGGGG
ensembl:lncRNA novel transcript